AUGCCCUCAAGGAAAUGACCCUGGACUGAAAGCCAAAGCUGUUUGCAGUUCCCACCAGAGCCCUCAGCUGUUGUGGGAAUUCGAUCGGUUCAGGUUCAGUCAACAGUGGUGGAGUGGGAGCAAGCCACGGAGAGCAUGACUUGCAAUUGGUCUUCAUUACCCCUGGGUAGAACAGCAGGACAUCACUGGAAGAACAGCAGCAUAUCCUCUUAUCUGCCACAAAUCGUUUUCUCUGAUACAAAGCACUUGUGUCAAUGAUGCGACAAGUCUUACUGAUCUUUACAUGAAAUAUAAAGAAAUGAUCAAGUCAUAUACUGUAUUCAAUAAGAUUACAUCUUCAACAGAGGCCAAUUUUUCAUGAAACCAAAAAAGCUUUUUCUGAGAUCCAUAAAUUAUAUUGGCUACUGAUAA